GACGAACGCUGGCGGCGUGCUUAACACAUGCAAGUCGAACGGAAAGGCCCUGCCUUUGUGGGGUGCUCGAGUGGCGAACGGGUGAUUAACACGUGAGUAACCUGCCCUUUACUUUGGGAUAACUUCAGGAAACUGGGGCUAAUACCGGCUAGUAGCUCCUGCUGCCUGGUGGGGGUUGGAAAGUUUCGGCGGUUGGGGAUGGACUCGCGGCUUAUCAGCUUGUUGGUGGGGUAGUGGCUUACCAAGGCUUUGACGGGUAGCCGGCCUGAGAGGGUGACCGGCCACAUUGGGACUGAGAUACGCCCCAGACUCCUACGGGAGGCAGCGGUCGAGAAUAUGGCACAGGGGGAGGAAGCACGUAGCAGAAACGUGGAGGGCGGUAUCACGGAAUUCGAGUCUUAAACCGCUAAAGACUGAGACGUAGCGAGAGUGACGGUAAUAAGUAAAGAAGACACGGAUAACUACAUG
rnacentral:rRNA from 1 species